rnacentral:rRNA from 1 species
UACGUAGGGUGCAAGCGUUAAUCGGAAUUACUGGGCGUAAAGCGUGCGCAGGCGGUUGUGCAAGACAGAUGUGAAAUCCCCGGGCUCAACCUGGGAACUGCAUUUGUGACUGCACGGCUAGAGUGCGGCAGAGGGGGAUGGAAUUCCGCGUGUAGCAGUGAAAUGCGUAGAUAUGCGGAGGAACACCGAUGGCGAAGGCAAUCCCCUGGGCCUGCACUGACGCUCAUGCACGAAAGCGUGGGGAGCAAACAGG